rnacentral:rRNA from 1 species
UCUUCGGAUGCUGACGAGUGGCGAACGGGUGAGUAAUACAUCGGAACGUGCCCAGUAAUGGGGGAUAGCUCGGCGAAAGCCGGAUUAAUACCGCAUACGCCCUGAGGGGGAAAGUGGGGGACCGCAAGGCCUCACGUUAUUGGAGCGGCCGAUGGCUGAUUAGCUAGUUGGUAGGGUAAAGGCCUACCAAGGCGACGAUCAGUAGCUGGUCUGAGAGGACGAUCAGCCACACUGGGACUGAGACACGGCCCAGACUCCUACGGGAGGCAGCAGUGGGGAAUUUUGGACAAUGGGGGAAACCCCGAUCCAGCAAUGCCGCGUGUGCGAAGAAGGCCUUCGGGUUGUAAAGCACUUUUGUCAGGGAAGAAAUCCUUUGGGCUAAUACCCUAGGGGGAUGACGGUACCUGAAGAAUAAGCACCGGCUAACUACGUGCCAGCAGCCGCGGUAAUACGUAGGGUGCAAGCGUUAAUCGGAAUUACUGGGCGUAAAGCGUGCGCAGGCGGUUGUGUAAGACAGGUGUGAAAUCCCCGGGCUUAACCUGGGAAUUGCAUUUGUGACUGCACGACUAGAGUGUGUCAGAGGGGGGUGGAAUUCCAC